GCACCAGAUGACGACCGGCGCACGGGUGCGUAACGCGUAUACAAUCUACCUUUUGCUAAGGGAUAGCCCAGAGAAAUUUGGAUUAAUACCUUAUAGUAUGCAGACUUCUCAUGGAGAUUGCAUUAAAGAUUACGGCAAAAGAUGAGUAUGCGUCCUAUUAGUUUGUUGGUGUGGUAACGGCACACCAAGACUACGAUAGGUAGGGGCCCUGAGAGGGGGAUCCCCCACACUGGUACUGAGACACGGACCAGACUCCUACGGGAGGCAGCAGUGAGGAAUAUUGGACAAUGGAGGCAACUCUGAUCCAGCCAUGCCGCGUGCAGGAAGACUGCCCUAUGGGUUGUAAACUGCUUUUAUACAGGAAGAAACACUCCCUCGUGAGGGAGCUUGACGGUACUGUAAGAAUAAGGAUCGGCUAACUCCGUGCCAGCAGCCGCGGUAAUACGGAGGAUCCAAGCGUUAUCCGGAAUCAUUGGGUUUAAAGGGUCCGUAGGUGGAUAAUUAAGUCAGAGGUGAAAGUUUGCAGCUCAACUGUAAAAUUGCCUUUGAUACUGGUUAUCUUGAGUUAUUGUGAAGUAGUUAGAAUAUGUAGUGUAGCGGUGAAAUGCAUAGAUAUUACAUAGAAUACCAAUUGCGAAGGCAGAUUACUAACAAUAUACUGACACUGAUGGACGAAAGCGUGGGUAGCGAACAGGAUUAGAUACCCUGGUAGUCCACGCCGUAAACGAUGGAUACUAGCUGUUGGGCUUCGGCUCAGUGGCUAAGCGAAAGUGAUAAG
rnacentral:rRNA from 1 species